UAUGUUUUCCAAUCUGAUUUUUAAGGUAUUUAGAUUCUUUCCUUUUAAAAAGAAAUCAAUUACUGUAGGGAUGGAUUUGCACCUAUCUAACCCCUUAUAUAAAAGGAUAUGACCAUGAUCGUUUAAUCUAAAAAACUUGAAGCAGAACCAAAAAUUAUCUUCACCAAAAAAUAGAGCUAGAGAGACAAUAAUAAUGUCAGCACAAAAGUUUCAAGUUGCUUCUCAACUCUUAAUUAUUUUUCUCCUCUUUUCUCAGUCUACUGCAAACAGAUGUGUGUACAGAGGUCCUUGUAAAAUUCAUGCCGAUUGCAAGAAGUUAUGCAUUUUCCCAGGGGAUGAUCCAUCUUACUUGAGCUGCUUUACUAAUCCCCCAAUAAAUGGACAAUGUUGUUGUUUAAAUAAAAACCCAGGAAAUAUGGUCUUGUCAUAGAGGAAUACAUAUUCAUAAAUUUGUGGCAUUGCUUAUCAUAAAAUUUAAUAAAAUAUAAUCUAUGGAUCAUGUUAUGUAGAACAGUAGAAGAAGUAUGGUAAACAAAAAUGGCUAUCAAAAUCAAAACUAUACUAAAAGCACAAUAUAAAGCCCUGUGAAGCUAUCGACGUCAGAUGGGAAAUUUCUCCAAUAGUAUUGCAGUAAACGGCCACGUCAUCGUCGAGUUCACUCGGUUUGGGCUUCUGGGCCUCUCCGAUCUUUAUGUUUUCAGCCCACAUUAUGCAGCUGAUGGCUCGAUGUGCUACGCGAUGUUUGUCGCAACUCUGAUUUUGUUCUUCUCCCACCUUUCAACUUCCAGUUCUUUGAUUUCUCUCUUCUUCAAAUCCGUUUUGCCGAUUAACUAACUUGUCCACUAACUCAUCUAAUCAAACCUUGGUUGAACUUAUUCAAUGGAUUCUUUUAGCCUUUCUCGCUAUUUUCCUAAUUAUAAAAUCUGUUUACCUAAUAUUAUCUUUCCAUCAAAGUUGAUAAUAUUCUCUCAAACAUUCAUCGCGAUGGAACACACCGGCAAAUCUUCGAUCUCCACAGACCGCAAGACCAUCGAGAAGACAGUCGAUUGUGAUGAAACCUAACGAGAAAGCUGCUGUUUCAUCUGCCAAUCCGAUGAACCCAAAGGUUGAUACCGCUCUCUCCUCCGUGCAUCGCGACCAAGUGAUGUUGUUCAGAGAUGUCUCUCUCUGCCCAUGCGAAGCUGAGUUGAGGUUUCGUUUGAUUCACUUCUGGGAGGCUCGCAACCCAAACACAAAAACCCUAAUUGGACAAGAGAUGCUGCUUAUCAGCGAAGAGGUGCUGUUGUUCAGGGUUUUGUCCCAGCCGGAUGUGUUGGGGCAUUUGAUUUUUGGUAGCUGGUUCUGUCUAUAACCUGAGCAACUUUUUCGGAUCCAGAAACAAAGAUCAGUAUCGGGUUGCUGAUCAUGUCGCCACUGUCUCAUUCUCUUGGAAUUCUUCUUUGUCGGUGCUUGAGAACCCUUCGGUUCUAAUUCCAGAAGAUAGGUUCAGGUUCCACAGCUAUGAGGAUUUAAGGCCAACUGUGACUCCAAGGGUGAUCUUUAUGAUUAUGUUGCCCAUAUGAAGCUGGUGAAUGGACGGACGGACUAUCACGGACCAUAUGAUUCUUGACAAAGUUGACAUAGCAGAGAAGCGGAUCUAUGUGUUCAUGUUCAGACACAUGAAGGUGAUGAAGCUCUUAUCUGUGGGACAAGGCUGCAGCCGACUUCUGCAAGAAAUUCAAGUCGUAUGGAAGCAUCCCAAGCGUUCUUUUGGUCACCACUGUGAACCCUCCCUAUACAUCUCGGAGAUGAGGCAGUGGCAAUGCAUGUUAUGGUUAAUCACAUCGGUUCAUUUUUUAUUAACAAGAACCCUUGCUCUCACUUCUUUGUCAUCGUCUCGUGUGUUUAUGGAUGCCGAUGAUCAGCCUUCCAAGGAUUAUCUUGAUGGUUGAGUUCCAACUCCGAAAUUGCUAAUAGGAUUGCUACUGAGGUUGUCACUAAGCCUGAGACAGUGACUCUUGAAGAGUUAUUCUCUUACAUCAAGCAAGAAGCUUCUAAGCAAACAGAUGUGUGUACAGAGGUCCUUGUAAAAUUCAUGCCGAUUGCAAGAAGUUAUGCAUUUUCCCAGGGGAUGAUCCAUCUUACUUGAGCUGCUUUACUAAUCCCCCAAUAAAUGGACAAUGUUGUUGUUUAAAUAAAAACCCAGGAAAUAUGGUCUUGUCAUAGAGGAAUACAUAUUCAUAAAUUUGUGGCAUUGCUUAUCAUAAAAUUUAAUAAAAUAUAAUCUAUGGAUCAUGUUAUGUAGAACAGUAGAAGAAGUAUGGUAAACAAAAAUGGCUAUCAAAAUCAAAACUAUACUAAAAGCACAAUAUAAAGCCCUGUGAAGCUAUCGACGUCAGAUGGGAAAUUUCUCCAAUAGUAUUGCAGUAAACGGCCACGUCAUCGUCGAGUUCACUCGGUUUGGGCUUCUGGGCCUCUCCGAUCUUUAUGUUUUCAGCCCACAUUAUGCAGCUGAUGGCUCGAUGUGCUACGCGAUGUUUGUCGCAACUCUGAUUUUGUUCUUCUCCCACCUUUCAACUUCCAGUUCUUUGAUUUCUCUCUUCUUCAAAUCCGUUUUGCCGAUUAACUAACUUGUCCACUAACUCAUCUAAUCAAACCUUGGUUGAACUUAUUCAAUGGAUUCUUUUAGCCUUUCUCGCUAUUUUCCUAAUUAUAAAAUCUGUUUACCUAAUAUUAUCUUUCCAUCAAAGUUGAUAAUAUUCUCUCAAACAUUCAUCGCGAUGGAACACACCGGCAAAUCUUCGAUCUCCACAGACCGCAAGACCAUCGAGAAGACAGUCGAUUGUGAUGAAACCUAACGAGAAAGCUGCUGUUUCAUCUGCCAAUCCGAUGAACCCAAAGGUUGAUACCGCUCUCUCCUCCGUGCAUCGCGACCAAGUGAUGUUGUUCAGAGAUGUCUCUCUCUGCCCAUGCGAAGCUGAGUUGAGGUUUCGUUUGAUUCACUUCUGGGAGGCUCGCAACCCAAACACAAAAACCCUAAUUGGACAAGAGAUGCUGCUUAUCAGCGAAGAGGUGCUGUUGUUCAGGGUUUUGUCCCAGCCGGAUGUGUUGGGGCAUUUGAUUUUUGGUAGCUGGUUCUGUCUAUAACCUGAGCAACUUUUUCGGAUCCAGAAACAAAGAUCAGUAUCGGGUUGCUGAUCAUGUCGCCACUGUCUCAUUCUCUUGGAAUUCUUCUUUGUCGGUGCUUGAGAACCCUUCGGUUCUAAUUCCAGAAGAUAGGUUCAGGUUCCACAGCUAUGAGGAUUUAAGGCCAACUGUGACUCCAAGGGUGAUCUUUAUUUUAUGAUUAUGUUGCCCAUAUGAAGCUGGUGAAUGGACGGACGGACUAUCACGGACCAUAUGAUUCUUGACAAAGUUGACAUAGCAGAGAAGCGGAUCUAUGUGUUCAUGUUCAGACACAUGAAGGUGAUGAAGCUCUUAUCUGUGGGACAAGGCUGCAGCCGACUUCUGCAAGAAAUUCAAGUCGUAUGGAAGCAUCCCAAGCGUUCUUUUGGUCACCACUGUGAACCCUCCCUAUACAUCUCGGAGAUGAGGCAGUGGCAAUGCAUGUUAUGGUUAAUCACAUCGGUUCAUUUUUUAUUAACAAGAACCCUUGCUCUCACUUCUUUGUCAUCGUCUCGUGUGUUUAUGGAUGCCGAUGAUCAGCCUUCCAAGGAUUAUCUUGAUGGUUGAGUUCCAACUCCGAAAUUGCUAAUAGGAUUGCUACUGAGGUUGUCACUAAGCCUGAGACAGUGACUCUUGAAGAGUUAUUCUCUUACAUCAAGCAAGAAGCUUCUAAGGUACUAGAGUUAAUUUGUUUUUACUUUCGUUUCCAUAUCCUUGGGUACUUAUUAAGUUUCAUUUUAUAUUUUCAUCGA